rnacentral:lncRNA from 1 species
GUCCUAAUACGAGAAUUUAUCGGGUCAAUAAAAUUCAUAUCGGGUGAGGCGAAGCCAAACCCGAUAUGAAUUUUAUUGACCCGAUAAAUUCCGUAUUAGGACAAUUGAACACUGUGUAACGAAUUUAUCCUGAUUUUGUUAUAUAACAUAUUAUUAUUUUUAAAUUCAAUAUAAGGACAAUAUCAACCAAAUAUAUUUUAGAUAUUUAAUCUAAAACUGUGAAAAAUUAAAAUAUUAGGACUAUGAAGCAACUAAUUUUUAUUUAUUAGGUCAAUUGUAUAAGGGAGAUAAUCCCAAUUGACGUAAUAAAUAAGGGAGAUAAUUUCUAUUGACGUAAUAAAAAAUUGUACUGAAAUUUAUUAGGACAAUAUCAGCCAAUCAAAUUGCGA